rnacentral:lncRNA from 1 species
GUUUAAGUACUAAAAAAUGGGGACCUCCAUUGUGCAUGCUCUUAUAGACCAAUAAGAAGAUUCUUGAGUUGAGGCAAUAUGUUCUGCUUCUCAUCAAUGUUUUGAAUAUCUUGUCUUGAUAAAUGAUGUCCGCACAAGAUGAGGUAUCCGUUGUUGUUAAGUGCUUGAAAUUCGGAGCAGCAGGCUAUCUAGUAAAGCCUUUACGAAAAUUGAAAUAUUAAAUUUGUGGAGAAGG